rnacentral:rRNA from 1 species
AGCCAAUCCCAGAAAGCCGUUCUCAGUUCGGAUUGCAGGCUGCAACUCGCCUGCAUGAAGUCGGAAUCGCUAGUAAUCGCAGGUCAGCAUACUGCGGUGAAUACGUUCCCGGGUCUUGUACACACCGCCCGUCACACCACGAGAGUUUGUAACACCCGAAGUCGGUGAGGUAACCUUAGGGAGCCAGCCGCCGUAUUGGGGG